CAAUUAUUUACUGGUAGAAUUCGGUAUGUAAAUAUAGCCGAUUAACGGUAGGAACUUCUGUAAAGUUCAGUAUAUAUAUUGUAUAUGAGAAAAAAGGGACAGGCAACAGGUUGCUUGACCGCAUUCCGAAAAAGUAGAAAUAGCAGUCAAGAAUGCUUAUUUCUAUUUUCCACAAGUGGGGCUCCACACACGACAAACCCUGCAAUUCACAUAUGCAAAACAAAAGAAAUAAAUAAUGAAAACGAAGUAGUAAAUAUAUAUAUAUUUACUACAAAUAAUAUGGGUGGCUUUGGGUUAAACUCAACCCACCUUGUCAGUUUAUAAGAUAUAUAUAUGAUUGUGCGUAGGUGUUUGUGUGUAUAUGUGUGUAUGCCUAUGACUGUAUGUUUGUAUGUAUGCAUAAUUCAUGUGUGUAUAUUUUUAUGUUUAAUUAAAUGUAUGUACGUAUGUAUGUACCCGUGUAUUUAUGCAAGUAUGUUUGUAUACAUAUAUAUACAUUCAUUUUUGUAUUUGAAUAUAUGUAUAUAUGUGUAUAUGUAUAUAUGUAUGAAUAGAAAUACAGAGAGAGAGAGAGAGAGAAAGAGAGAGAGAGAGAUUGAGAGUGAGAGAGAUAUGCACGCAUAAGUAGACAGACAGACUAAAAGAAAAAAAGUCAGCUAGGCAGACAAACAGGCCGGCAGAUAGAUUGAUCACACAAGCUAAGUGUUUUGGGCUGGCAAACACAUCUUCAGAGGCCAACGGUAUUUCACAUACAUUAGAUAAUACCCGUAUAUAUUCAAAUGGAUAAAACAAUAAAAGCAGCUUUAAGAAAAGCUGCUUUGUAUGAAUAUAUAUGUAAAGCCUUCUAUAGAAUUGUAUAGAGACUGAACAGUGGGAAUGAGAAUAAGCAAGUUAGGAAAGAAAAAAAAGGAGAAAUAUAAAAAAAAGAAUGGUUGGGAGAAAGGUUAACAACAUCUCGCAUGUCUUACACAAUGGUUAAACUUCUUAAAAUAACGAUUAAAAUAUUUCUAAAUUUUGCAUUUAUUCAGAAAUUAAUAGUUUGUUUAGAUCGUGUUUUCAUAAGGCAAUAUAUUUUAAUUUUUGUUGUUGUAUAUAUUUGUAAAUGAUACAUUUAAAAUAGACUAGAUUCAGCAGAUUUAUUUCUAGUUUUGCAAAUAAAAAUAUCGCUGUUAUCUUCGAAAUAUAAUUAAUGAGUUAUUAAUAAAUGUUUUAAGGAUCUUAAAUUAUAUAAUUUAAGAUAUAUUUGGUUCUGCUUAAUGCAAUAUAACAUAAAGAAUGUGACACAUUAUUCCUGCUUAAAUAUUUAAAUUACAUCUAUUUCAAGUCAAAAUGUUUUCGAAGGUGAACAGCGAAUAAUAUAAUGCGCAGUGUCAUUGUUUGUGCUGUAGAUUUUAAAUGAUUUCCUUGCAAAAGAAAUUCCUUAAUUACAAAUUCUAAUUUAGUCACAUAAAACUAUAAAUAUUCAUUAUCUCUCCAUAUAUUCGCACUUUAAUACUGGAUUAUGAUAAAGGCAUUCUAUCAUUAGUGAUAUAACCGGCUUUCCCUAACGCAGCAGAUUAUAAGAAUCAUGAGAGCGGCAUUAUUUAAGGUAAAAUAGAAUUUAGUAUUAUAGAAGUGCAGGCGUGGCUGUGAGUUAAGAAGUUUGCUCUCCAACCAUAUCGUUCCGGGUUCUAUCCCAGAAGUGUCUUCUACAAUAUCAAAGCUUUGUGAGUAGAUUUAGUAGACAGAAACUGAAAAAAAACAGUUACACACAUACAUAUAUAUAUAAAUAUAUCAUGUUGAAUCGUUAGCCCCUACACGCAAUUUUUUUCUCUCCUUGUUUCUUUUCUGUGUAUCUUUCUGUCGAAGAGCCUAGGCUCGAAACGUAAAAUACUUGUUUUUGUUCUAUUCCUGAGCGGCAUACUAAUACAUUAUUUGUUUGUACUCCACCUGCCUUCGUCUUUUGUUUAUUUUCAUAAACCUUCCCGUAUAUAUAUAUAUAUAUUUAUAUAUAUAUAUAUAUAUAUGGGGAAGGGGUUUGUUUUGUCCCCGCUUGGCAACCGGUUUUGGUGUGUUCGCGAAAACUUAACAGUUCGGCAAAAUCUUCGACAGAAUAAGUACCAAGCUAAAAUUCUGCAAGUAGACUGGAAAAAUAUGUGGAGCAUAUAGUGAUAUAUUCAACCGGAAGUGACUGUUAGGUGUAACACUUCUAAUUUCCGUUGUCAAUUUAACAGUAAUUUCCCACAUUUAAUUGUCUCUACAAUAAUGUGCUGUAGUUUAACUAGAGGAAGUGAUUUCAGUUAGUGAAUCAAUCAAUCUAUAGCAAUUCUUCUUACAGGUGACCUUAAAUUUGGGAAAAUGAUUAAUAUCAAUACGUCCCCGGUACGAGGAAUCCUUCAUUGAAAGCAAGUCCCUACGUUUCAAGGAGGGAUUCUGCGCGUAAUUCGCAAAAGUUACCGAAUACAACAGACAUCCAUUGGUCAUGACGCGAGUAUAACGGGUCACACGUUGCAACUGUAAGAACCAAGGUGAUGAAACUAUAUUAUCAAACAAAUAUAAAACAUAAUAAAGAGAAUCACAUUAUUACAGAAUCUUGAGAAUUAAGAGAAUGGGCGAUAAGGAAUAGAUUUACUGUAUAUUAUAGUGUCAGUCUAUUCGUUACAGCCACUCAUUGCAAAUCAACCCUUGUUAAAAUGGGAUCAUAUGUCAGAGGGAAGAAUUAUUUAAAAGUCACACAGUAUUGAUUGCUUCUAAGAUUACAAUGGGAGAUAAAUUAAAGUAUGUCUACUUCACAAACAAGCAUAUGCAAACAUUUACGCAUAUGUAUACAUCUGUGUGUGUAUAUAUAUAUAUAUGUGUGUGUGUGUGUGUGUGUGUGUGUGUGUGUGUGUGUGUGUGCGCGUGUGUAUGUGUGCGUAAAUUCAUAUAUAUAUAUUCAUGUAUAUAUACAUAUGUAUACAGAAAAAUUAUAUACUUUCAAUUAUUUUUUCUUUAAUCGGUUUUACACGGUGGCUACUUGAUAAAAUCUUAUAUAGAUUUUAUCCUUAUAUUUCAUAGAUUUAUUCAUGUGCGAUGUAUGUAUAUGUGUAUGUAUAUAUAUAUAUAUGUGUGUGUGUGUGUGUGUGUGUGUGUGUGUGUGUGUUGUGUGUGUGUGUGUAGUCAAUAAAAGAUAUAUCAGAAAAGCUUACUGUAAAGAAUAGAGUAGUAAUUAUUAAAACAAACAUUUAAAUUCUGGUAAUAGAGUUACCAAAGAUUUCGUAUCCACGAAAGACACAGACAUGUGGAAGGCUCGUCAGACUCUCUACGAACACAAAAAAUUAAACUUUCUACCACGUGGACGUGAGGGAACGCUCAGAUAUCGGGAAUUAACGGCUAAUGCAUACAAACGUUAAUGAGAUCCCCUGGACCAGAGGAUAAAAAACCCUUACAGACCUGAAACAACCUAACCAGUAAACAGGGAGAUCACCGUGGUUAUCGUUUCUGUAUGAUUCAACAAACAAUUUUGUGAAUAUAUCGGAUCGGCCAAUGCAUCAUUCAAAUGUCGCUUCCCCAACCACCAGUCAACCUUCAGAAGCCCCAAAAAUGUUUUUUUCACGUCCCUGCCAAGUCAUGUGUGGCACUUCAAAGAUCAAGGGACCCCAGGUAAUAUCAGGUGGAAAAUAAUAAAUCAUCCAGGCCCAUUUAUUAAUAGUAGUGGUCAUUGCAAAAUCUGCAGAGAGAACCAAAAUUCUUAAGGUCACUGCUAAACCUGACACGUGGAGUAAUCGUAAAAAAUGUUUUCUUUAAAUGUGUCCGUUUCAAGCGCUACUUACUCGUUUGCUAUUUAGGCCAUUUCGGAUUUGUAAGGGUUUUUUUUAAUCCUCUGGUUCAGAAGAGAUAACCCGUACUCACUAAAGUUUUUUUUUUAAUAUGUUAGCCUUUAAAUCUCGAUAUUUGAGGGCUUCCUCACAUCCGCGAGGUAGAAAGUUUGCUUUUUUUCUUCUGUCUUUGAGUGGUGUCUGAUGAGCUGUCCACAAGGAUGUGGAUUUCGUGGAUGCGAAACAUUUGAUAACUCUAUAACCAGAAUUUAACAUUUUGUUUUAAUAUGUUUAUAUAUAUAUAUGUGUGUGCGUGUGAUUGUGUGUGUGCGUGUGUGUGUGUGUGUGUGUGUGUGUGUGUGUGUGCGCGCGCGUGUGUGUGUGCGCGCGCGUGUGCGUGUGAUUGUGUGUGUGCGUGUGUGUGUGUGUGCAUGUGUGUGUGUGUGUCUGUGCGUACGUAUAUAUAUAUAUAUAGAGAGAGAGAGAUACAGUAUAUAUAUUUAUAUAUAGAUUUGUCGUAUAUGUAUAUAUAUGUAUACAUGUAUGUAUAUAUAUAUAUAUAUAUAUAUAUAUAUAUAUAUAUAUAUAUAUCACUUGAUCACUUUGACCGACCAGUCCGUCAGGCGUCCAUUUGUCACCGCUGGUCACAGCACGCUGUCUACUGCUCUCUGGAUCGCGCCUUUCUCACCACUGACAUAGCUCUACUGUCAUCACUCAUACGAGUGCCGGUCGAGAAGGGAGUGAAGCAAGGAGAUACAAUCUCCCCAAAACUUUUCACUGCAUGUCUCGAACAGGUCAUCAGAGGCAUCGAAUGGCAAGGUGGUGUCAACAUCAAUGGCGAGCUCCUCACUCACCUUCGUUUCGCUGACGACAUCGUACUCAUCGCUGAAAACAUGGAUCAGCUUCAGACCAUGCUGACAGAGCUCCACAUCAAAAGUUCUGCAGUAGGUCUCAAGAUAAACCGCAUGAAAACAAAGUUCAUGCGGUCAGACAAUGUACCAACAGGUCGAAUGGUGAUCGGCAGUGAUGAAAUAGAGGAGGUGAGAGAAUAUAUAUAUAUAUAUAUAUAUAUAUAUAUAUAUAUAUAUAUAUGAGAGAGAGAGAGAGAGAGAGAGAGAGAGAGUGGUUUUCUGAAGCCUCCCUUUUAGAGAGACUUAGAAAUUUUAAUAAUUCUAUUUUUGAAAACCAGUGGAUGUAUUCCACUGAAAUUAGGUAAAUAAUCAUUCGAACAGACAGUCAGCAGCGACGCCUGCUGGGUUUGGCUAGUCUGCAUUGAUAAAGGGCAAAUACCCUGAAACAUGUCUGCAGAUGCCUAACCACCAAGGGGAAGCAGCUGACCUCCCCUAUUCGAGGUAGAGGCGAUGGCCUCUUGGAGCUAAUCAACGGCAGCUUUACUCUUAUAUUUAUGGACUGCCAUAUUAGCUUGGCGAUACCUGUUAAUAUAUAUAUAUAUAUAUAUAUAUAUAUAUAUAUAUAUAUAUAUACUCACGUAGACGUUGCUGUAUGCUAAGAAGAUGUGUGGUCUUCUGUUCAAUUCCACUGUGUGGCACCUUGGACAAGUGUGUGUUUGUCUUUGUGUUCCCGUUUGUCAUCCCACUCACCGCUUGAGAAGUAGUCUUGAUUUGUUUACCUUUACGUUACUUAGCGGUUUACCAUAAAAAAAAAACGAUUGAAUGAGUAUCAGAAAUAGGGAACCAUGACUACAUUCAUGGUAAUGCACCAACAAAUGACUGAAACAUGUAAGAAAUAAAAGGUACAAUACAUAUAUAUAUAUAUGCUCAUUAUUAUUAUUAUUGGAAUUCAUUAUUGUAAAUAUAUUAAGAUUUUGGUGUCAGGGUAGCGACAUAUGUAAUGGUAACAUUUCACCUGUUCUCGUAUACGUGAACGCACAUGCGACUCUAUGCCUGUGCAUUUGGCUUUCACAUUGUAUGUGUAAGAAUGUAAUUGUAUAUGUGUGUGCGCGAAUGCCUAUAUGACUUCAUGUUAGGCAGAUUAAGUUGCCGAGACAGUAGUGUAUUAGAAGUAAAAGAAAAACAAAAAUCGAUAAAGCUAACAGCUCUAAGGUCACUAUGACCCUUCGCCGACCAGCGAUCAAAUCUGUCAGCAGCCAUUUUGAAAAUGUUUAAGUGGACCACGUUUUUGAUAUAGCGAACACAAAACGUUUGUUGAAUCAUUACGGUUUCUUUGAUUCCAUUAAUUCUGCAAGAGCUGGUCUUCGUGACACUUUUGAAGAAUUCUGUCAGAUAGUCUUUGCUUCUUCUAAUACACUUUCGUUUCGCUGUUUUACUGCUUCUAGCUAAAGAAUUUCACGUUUGAAAUUUUGGAAACGUUACUCGCCGUCUACCGCUUUGGCUUUCAUCAGCUUACAAUCCCUGACAUUGAUAACGUUGGCUGUUGUGAACAAAAUAGCAGAAAAGGGGUGUGAGCUAAAGAAAAAGUGGAAGGCGAAAUAUAUACAUACAUAUAUAUAUAUAUAUAUAUAUAUAUAUAUAUAUAUAUAUAUAUAUAUAUAUACGUGUAUGUGUGUAUGUUACAUAUCGGUGUGUAAUUGUGUAUGUGCAUGUAUGAAUGUAUUUACGUAUAUAUUUCUAUAUAUGUAUACAAGUACAUCUUCGUGUCUAUAUGUAUACAUAUUUGAAUAUAUGUGAAUAUAUGUAUGAACAUAUAUAUAUAUGUAUAUUUCUGUGUAUGGGCAUAAGAAUGGAUGACUAGAAUUUAAAACGAAAACGAAGUCAAAAGUUGAAAAGAAGGAGGCAAGACAGAAGAGGAAGACGAAGGUGUAGAUGUAGGAUUUUUUUUUAAUUAUCAAUGAGUAUAUUCCAAAUUAUUUGGCGAGAGCUUAUAAUUGAAGGAGAGAUUAGACAGAUAGAUAGAUAGAUAGAUAGAUAGAUAGAUAGAUAGAUAGAUAGGUAGGUAGGGAUGUAGGUAGGUAGGUGGAUAGGUAGACAGAUAGAGAGAUAGAUAGAGAGAUAGAUAGAUAGAUAGAUAGAUAGAGAGACAGACAGACAGACAGUGGUAGUGAUAGAGAAAAAGAUGGUAGUAUAUGAAGAUGGAAAUGAAAUGAACUGGAAGACGAGAAAAGGAGAAAUUAGCUGGAGAAAAAAGCAGAGAAGGAGGGUUAAAGCGAAGAAAGGGAGAUAUUUCUCUAAAGCGUAACGGAGAUAACACAUAGAUUGUGCAUGUGUAGAUAUGUGAGUAUAUGUUUAUGUACGCAAAAUAGAUGUCUUUUUUUCUCGCUAUUCGAGUUUCACGCUCCUGCGUUCUUCAGGCGAAAAGAUCGAAGCAACGAGAAACUGGAGUGUUGAGGGAAAUGUAAUUCGGUUUAAAUAAAUAAUUAUACUCCACAGCCUAUAUUGAGCAUUUUCUUCCACUUUCGUUGACAAACCACAACUUUUAAGCGUAUACGUGUGUGCGUGUUUGUGUGAUUAUGAGAGCCCGUGUGUGAAGGGGGUGUGAGAGAGUGUAGGUAUUGGUAAUUCUCUUAGCUACAUAUCUGUUUUUGUGUAUAUGUGUGUGUGUGUACUUGGUGGGGGGGGGGCUGAACGUGUGAGAGAUAGAGAGAGAUAGUGCGGAGUAAGUGCAUGCGUACGUGUGUCAGUGAGUACAGACUAUAACAGACUGUCAAAUGAGAAAGGAGAGAAAGAAAAUGAGGUGAGAGAAUGCGGGUGAGAGAGGGGGAAGAGAGAGGGAGAAUAAGAAAAGAGAAGAGAAUUGGUGAGAGAGAAAAGCAGAAAUGCUUGGAACCAGGACGAUGAAGGAAAAUUAGACAACUACAGGGAAGCGGAAAGAGAUAGAGGAAGAGAGAGAGUGUAAGAAAUGGACUGAGAAUCACAGAAGGAAACAAAGAGUGUGAGAGGAAGAUAACAAGGGAUGGGAAAUAUUGGAGACAGAUGAAGAAAGAGAGAAAAACAGAGAAAUUGUGUCAGAGAUGGUGAGAGAAAGCAGAAAAGCAAGAAGAGAAAGAGAAAGGGGGAGAGAAGGAGAGAGAGAAUGAAAGAAUGAGAAAGAGUGUAAGGAAUAAAAAUAGCAACAGAAUGACUGAGACCGGAAGAAAGAUGGAGAAAGAGUAUAACAAUACAGAGGGAAAAUGGAAGACAUGCAUGGAGAUGGAAUAAGACAAACACGUUGUCUCAGAAAUAGUAAGAGAAUAGGGAGAAAACAGAGACAGACAGACAGACACACACACAUACACACACGCAAGCUGGCAGGCAGACAGACAGAAAGACAAACAGACAGAUAGAUGGACAGAUAGACAAGCAGACCUGCAGAGGAGAACAGAGAAGAAAAGGCAGAAAUUCUUCAAGAUAGGGCAAUACCAAAGAAUCACAACGACAGAGACGCAGAGGCAUAGAUGUGGAGAAAGGAAGAGAGAGUGAGAGAGAGAGAGAAUAUGUGUAUGUGUGUGUGUAUAUGUGUUUUGUGUAUGUAUACGUACGCGUAUAUUUGUGUGUAUGUGUGUGUGUGAAUGUGUCUGUGUGUUUUAAAGUGCCAACAGAUGGAAUAAUCAAUCAAAAUUAUACGUAGUCUGUUGGAGCAAAAUUUGAUAAAAUUAAAAUGCCGCCAUUUUAAUGGUCUCCAUUUUGUAAAUUUAUCAAAUUAUCCGAGAACGGUUGAAAAUUUACUAAUGUAGUCCUUCUGUAAAGUAACUGUGUAUGUAGGUGUAUGAAUGUGUGCGUUCCUGGGACUGAAACUAUUCGUUUUAUUUGGGGAUGGGGCGUGCGAGCUUGUCGGUACGCGUGUGUGUGCGUGUGUGUGUGUUUGAGUGCGUGUGUACAUAUGUGUCUUUACGUAUAUGUGUGUACAUGUGUUGUGUGUGCGUGCAAAUAUAUACGUGUACAAAUGUUUGUGUAUGUGGGUGUGCUUGUAUAUGUGUGCGUCUUUGCUGUCAUAUAUAUGUGAAUAGGCUUGUUUGUGAAUGAUUGUGUGUAUGUAAGUGUAAAUACGAACCUCUUUGAGAAUGAGUGUGACUACAUAUAUACAGGUGUGAGCACACAUAUACAUAUUUGUGUAUGUGUGUGUGUGUGUCAGUGUGUUUAUGAGUACAGAGUGAGUGAGAGUAAGAUAAACUUCCUAUGUGCACGUAUAUGUGUUUCUAUGCUAGUAUCAAUGUGUUUGUUGCUUUUUCUAUACUUCAUGAAUGUUUCUCUGUGUGUGUGUGUGUGUGUGUGUGUGUGUGUGUGCGUUUGUGUGUGUGUGUGCUUGCAUGCUUUUGUGCGAGCGCGCGCGUGUGUGUGUGUGUGUGUGUGUAUAAACUUUUGCAUAGUCUAUGCGUAAGUAUGUGCGUGUUCGACAUUUCUAUUUCUAAAUGUGAAAGUGUGUGUUAGUGAACAUGUGUCAAGUGCUUCCGCGUGUGUAUGCUUGAUUUUUCUGUUCGUAUAUGAGAAUGCGUAAAGUAAAUAUGUAUGCAUGAAAUUGUAUACGCAAGCGUAUAAGCAUGACUAUAUGUCUGUGUGUGUGUGUGUGUGCGCGUGUGUGCGACUGUGCUUGUCAUUAGACACUUGUGAAUUAGUCUCUGACUAUCAGUAUGCGUGAUAUAUGAAUAUAUAUAUAUAUAUGUAUAUAUAUGUAUAUAUAUAUAUAUAUCAUAUUAUAUUAUUUAUAUAUAUAUAUAUAUAUAUAUAUAUAUAUGUAUAGGUAUAGAUAGAUAAUGUAUAUAUAUAUACAAAUAUAUAAAUAUAUAUAUAUAUAUGUAUGUAUGUAUGUAUGUAUGUAUGUAUAUAUAUAUAUAUAUAUAUAUAUAUGUGUGUGUGUGUAUAUAUAUAUACAUGUACAUGCAUAUAAACAAACAUGCAUAUAUAUAUAUACAGAGACAGAAAGGGAGAGAGAGAGAGACAGAGAGAGAGAGAAAGCGAUUAUAGUAGGAGUUUUCGUCAACAGAUAUAACGAAACAGCUAUGUACUACGAGUGCUCAGUUUGGUUUUCCACAAAAAACUAGCUUGAACUGCAACUCAAUAAUGUUACGUUGAGACUACCUACGAUAGGCAGCUAGAAGUGGAUUUUCUUUGAGCGGGUGGAUAUGAUUUUAAAUAAAAAUUGAAAAAGCAAAACAGUUGGUAUCACUGGAAUCAUAGAUUUCUAGCUAUGUGGAAAGAUAUCUACAUGCAUACAUACAUUAACUGUAUGCAUACAGCUAUGUGGAAAGAUAUCUACAUGCAAACACACAUUAUAUCUAUCUAUAUAUCUAUCUAUCUAUCUAUAUAUAUAUAUAUAUAUAUAUAUAUAUAUAUAUAUAUAUAUAUAUAUAUAUAUAUAUAUAUAUUAUUGAAGUAGAUAAAUGAAUUAUCUUAUUACGGAUAAUUCAAAUGAUAACCGAUACCUGGGUAGCAAAAAUCACAAAAGAAAAAGCACGGUUGAGGUUACGACCAUGGGGCCUAAAAUCCGUGCCUUAGUGCGGAAAUUUGAAGUUUUAUAUUUUUAGUGUAGGAAGAAAUGGAGCUGAACGAAGAUUUAACAAAAUUCCUUUUUAUUAUUUUCUACAUAUGUUUCAAAGGCUGCAAAGUCCCUAAUUCGGAUUGAAUAAGGAGUCCAUUUUGCAGCCUUCUCUUCAGGAAAAUCCAGGAACUUAAUUCUCCAACAAAAUGCACAGCAAACUUUUCGACAAACGCUCACGAGGAGCCCAUGGAAUAUGUAGAAAAUAAUAAAAAGGAAUUUUGUUAAAUCUUCGUUCAGCUCCAUUUCUUCCUACACUAAAUAUAUAUAUAUAUAUAUAUAUAUAUAUAUAUAUAUAUAUAUAUAUAUAUAUAUAUAUAUAUAUAUCCUUCUUCUUCUACUGCGACGUCUACUUCCAUUACUACUCCUACUACUACUAAUACUACUACUUUUUCCUCAUCUUCUCCACUUCCUUCUUCUGAUCGUUUUCCUUCUCCUCCUUCUUCUCGUUCUUCUGCGUAUUCUUCCUCUUGAUUUCCCCCUACCCUACAUAAUCUCUACCCCCACUUACUCUUCCCAUUUCCACACUUUUACUUAUCUAUGUAUUUAUUGCUUCCCGAUAUAUGCCAAAGAAAAAGAAAAAAAAAGGUCUAGAAGACGCACAUUGUGACAGCACACCUUUCAUCCAAGUCUGAUGAAGAGGCUCUCCACUAUCUAAAGUCUACAAACAUCAGGUAAAUUUUCACUCCGAAAUUUUGCGUAAACUAGCGUUGCAAAUAGUGUUGGUACAGAGACGAUUGCAUCGAAUCAUUACAGACGAGUUGAAGAAACUUCUUUGCCUUCUUUUCAUUUGUAUAUGUGUGUGUGUGUGUGUGUGUGUGUGUGUGUGUGUGUGUGUGUGUGUGUGUGUGUGUGUGUUAGUGUGUGUGUACUGAUGACUCUCCAGAUGACGUGGAAGUACACAAUUAUUGUAUCCUGCAAUAGAUAUAUAUACACAAAAAACACACACAUAUAAUAUAUGUAUGUAUCUACGUAUGUAUGUAUGCAUUGAUGCUUGCAUGUUUUACGGAGAUGUAAAGGUUUAAUAGUGCAUUGGUACAAUAAUAUGCAUGAUACAAAAAUGAAUAAUACAUAAUAAAAUAAAAAUCAAUGCGAAAGAGAAAUAAACAGUAUAAUAAAUAGUCUAAACUCAAGAAAAUUGGAAAUAUAACAUUUGCGUUAAAAAUUGUUAUGUAGACGAAAUUAUUAUGAAAAACAAAUGCCGAUCUGCCUCUGUGUAUAUAUAUAUAUAUAUAUAUAUAUAUAUAUAUGGAGGCGCAAUGGCCCAGUCGUAGGAUCGCGGUUUCGAUUCCCAGACCGGGCGUUGUGAGUGUUUAUUGAGCGAAAACACCUAAAGCUUCAUGUGGAUGCGGCAGGGGGUGGUGGCGAUCCCUGCUGUACUCUUUCGCCACAACUUUCUCUUACUCUUUCUUCUGUUGGCCUGCUCGUUUAGCCAGCGGGGUGGCGUCAUUUGAAGGCUAAAACAAUGCAAAGCGCAUUGUGACCAGCGAUGUGUAGUAACAUCUGACAGCCUGGUCGGUCACGGUAAUCACGGUGAUAUAUAUAUAUAUAUAUAUAUAUAUAUAUAUAUAUAUAUAUAUAUAUAUAUAUGCAGACGUGCGCAUACAGAUAUCUGUAUGCGUAUGUAUAUAUGUACGUUAACUUAUUUCUCUGUAUGUAUUUACGUAUGUGUAUCCCACGAUAACACGACUUAAAUUUUUCGUAUUAAAGACUGUAGGAAGGCAAACGAAAAUCGAUGCAAAGUCUAACUAGACAAAAUGUCGAACCAAAUGAAAUCAUGUGUACUGUAUUAAGACACCUUAUAAUGUUUGCAUAAAAUUGAUAAUCCAAUUUUAAAUUGAAACUAUGAGAAACCCAGGACAUCAUAACCAUUAUUUUGGCUAGGGAANNNNNNNNNNNNNNNNNNNNNNNNNNNNNNNNNNNNNNNNNNNNNNNNNNNNNNNNNNNNNNNNNNNNNNNNNNNNNNNNNNNNNNNNNNNNNNNNNNNNUAUUUAUAUAACAAAGCUAGAUUGCAACCUGCAAGAGUAACAUCUUCCAUACAUUCGCUAGUUGUUUUGAGCGCCAAUGCAGUCACAAGCAGACAUAGUCACCGUCUCGACUCCCCGAUCCUCUGUUGCAGUGGCACAAUCAGGAUUUGACAGUUGGAGAAAAUGUGAACUGCACCAGCAGUGGAGUAGGCAAGAUCAACUGAAGUGGUAUGUAGGUGUAUAUAUGUAGCUUGCUUACGAGCCACACGGUUCCGGGUUCGGUCGAACUGCGUGGAACCUUGGGCAAGUGUCUUCUACUAUAGCCUCG
rnacentral:lncRNA from 1 species